GAACGCUGGCGGCGUGCCAAUACAUGCAAGUCGAGCGAACCGACGAGGAGCUUGCUCCUCUGACGUUAGCGGCGGACGGGUGAGUAACACGUGGAUAACCUACCUAUAAGACUGGGGUAAAUUCGGGAAACCGGGGCUAAUACCGGGUAACAUGUUUAACCGCAUGGUUCAAACGUGAAAAACGGUUUUGCUGUCACUUAUAGAUGGGUCCGCGUCGCAUUAGCUAGUUGGUAAGGUAACGGCUUACCAAGGCAACGAUGCGUAGCCGACCUGAGAGGGUGAUCGGCCACACUGGAACUGAGACACGGUCCAGACUCCUACGGGAGGCAGCAGUAGGGAAUCUUCCGCAAUGGGCGAAAGCCUGACGGAGCAACGCCGCGUGAGUGAAGAAGGUCUUCGGAUCGUAAAACUCUGUUAUUAGGGAAGAACAAAUGUGUAAGUAACUAUGCACGUCUUGACGGUACCUAAUCAGAAAGCCACGGCUAACUACGUG
rnacentral:rRNA from 1 species